CUCACAGUGCGAGGCAAAAAUGGAGGAACACUGAAUAAAUGGAAGUCAGGAGAACUUCCAGGAAUCGCGCACUUAGCCCUCAAACGAUGGUGUACACUAGAAUGAGCCUUUUCUGUCCCCGCACCCCAGCCCGCCAGCUGAAUCUCUAAGGAGAAUACUCUAGAGGGCUGUUCUUCGCCUAUGCUGAUUCGCUGAACAGGUAGCAGAAACCCCAGGGCACACUCCACAUAGGACCUGAUGCUGGAACGGCCACAGGACCCAAGCCCUUUGGAGCCUCCGUUUAUCGACUAUCAGAGGAGGAUGCGUUGCGAAGAAGCACGAGUGGGAGGGAGUGGGAACUCAGUGCCUGUUAGCUGAUUCACUCAACCAACCUGUACCGCUCCCACCCCUGGGCUUGGUGCUGGGACAGCGAGGACGGGGAGAGGGUCCUGCCUCACAGGAUUAAAACAGCCAAAGGGCUGUGGGUACAAGGGGGACAGGGCAGGUGUUCUGCCUCUUGGGGGAGGCCUUGAAGGGGAAGGUGUAGCAAUUAUUCAAUAAAUACAUGCUGAUUUAUUAGAGGGAUAAGAUGGUUUAUUGGGGGAUAAAUUCAAGAGGAGUCGAGAAUGUUUUAUUCAUUUACAAUGUCCCUUUCCUGGAAGGAAGGAUAGCAAGAUUUAGGACAAGCUAAAAUCAUUCCCUAUUUAAA